UGGGGAAUAUUGGACAAUGGGCGCAAGCCUGAUCCAGCCAUGCCGCGUGAGUGACGAAGGUCUUCGGAUUGUAAAGCUCUUUUAGCAGGGAAGAUAAUGACGGUACCUGCAGAAUAAGCCCCGGCUAACUUCGUGCCAGCAGCCGCGGUAAUACGAAGGGGGCUAGCGUUGUUCGGAAUUACUGGGCGUAAAGCGCACGUAGGCGGAUUGAUAAGUUAGAGGUGAAAUCCCGGGGCUCAACCUCGGAACUGCCUUUGAUACUGUUAGUCUCGAGUCCGAUAGGGGUGAGUGGAAUUCCUAGUGUAGAGGUGAAAUUCGUAGAUAUUAGGAAGAACACCAGUGGCGAAGGCGGCUCACUGGAUCGGUACUGACGCUGAGGUGCGAAAGCGUGGGGAGCAAACAGGAUUAGAUACCCAAGUAGUCCCUGAGCGGGCUGGCAAGGCGCAU
rnacentral:rRNA from 1 species